GUAUCCUGGUAUCCCCUAACAUAUGUUUUUAAGGUUCACUUAUAUUGUAGUGUGUAUAUUAAUAGUUCAUUUCUUUCUUUCUUUUUUAUUUUUUGGUACUGGGAAUUGAACCUAGGGCCUCAUGCAUACUGGGGCAAGCAUUAUACCACUGAGCUACAGACAGCCCUAGUCCUUAUUUGAGACAGGGUCUUGCUAAGUUCCUAAGUCUGGCCUCAAACUUGCAGUCCUGCCUCUGCUUCCCAAGUAGGUGGGACUAUAGGUGUGCACCACUCGACUCCACCCAGCUUUACCUCAU
rnacentral:lncRNA from 1 species